GGAAGAAGCUCGCUUCUUUGCUGACGAGUGGCGGACGGGUGAGUAAUGUCUGGGAAACUGCCUGAUGGAGGGGGAUAACUACUGGAAACGGUAGCUAAUACCGCAUAACGUCGCAAGACCAAAGAGGGGGACCUUCGGGCCUCUUGCCAUCGGAUGUGCCCAGAUGGGAUUAGCUAGUAGGUGGGGUAACGGCUCACCUAGGCGACGAUCCCUAGCUGGUCUGAGAGGAUGACCAGCCACACUGGAACUGAGACACGGUCCAGACUCCUACGGGAGGCAGCAGUGGGGAAUAUUGCACAAUGGGCGCAAGCCUGAUGCAGCCAUGCCGCGUGUAUGAAGAAGGCCUUCGGGUUGUAAAGUACUUUCAGCGGGGAGGAAGGGAGUAAAGUUAAUACCUUUGCUCAUUGACGUUACCCGCAGAAGAAGCACCGGCUAACUCCGUGCCAGCAGCCGCGGUAAUACGGAGGGUGCAAGCGUUAAUCGGAAUUACUGGGCGUAAAGCGCACGCAGGCGGUUUGUUAAGUCAGAUGUGAAAUCCCCGGGCUCAACCUGGGAACUGCAUCUGAUACUGGCAAGCUUGAGUCUCG
rnacentral:rRNA from 1 species